rnacentral:rRNA from 1 species
UACGUAGGGUGCGAGCGUUAAUCGGAAUUACUGGGCGUAAAGCGUGCGUAGGCGGUUUUGUAAGUCUGACGUGAAAUCCCCGGGCUCAACCUGGGAAUUGCGUUGGAGACUGCAAGGCUGGAGUCUGGCAGAGGGGGGUAGAAUUCCACGUGUAGCAGUGAAAUGCGUAGAGAUGUGGAGGAACACCGAUGGCGAAGGCAGCCCCCUGGGUCAAGACUGACGCUCAUGCACGAAAGCGUGGGGAGCAAACAGG